rnacentral:rRNA from 1 species
UAUUGGACAAUGGGGGCAACCCUGAUCCAGCCAUGCCGCGUGAGUGAUGAAGGCCUUCGGGUUGUAAAGCUCUUUUGGCGGGGACGAUGAUGACGGUACCCGCAGAAUAAGCCCCGGCUAACUUCGUGCCAGCAGCCGCGGUAAGACGAAGGGGGCUAGCGUUGUUCGGAAUUACUGGGCGUAAAGCGAGUGUAGGUGGUUAUCCAAGUUGGAUGUGAAAGCCUUGAGCUCAACUCAAGAAAUGCAUUCAGGACUGGAUGGCUAGAGGACCGGAGAGGAUAGUGGAAUUCCCAGUGUAGUGGUGAAAUACGUAGAGAUUGGGAAGAACACCAGUGGCGAAGGCGGCUAUCUGGACGGUUUCGACACUAAGACCGAAA